rnacentral:rRNA from 1 species
GAUGAACGCUGGCGGCGUGCCUAAUACAUGCAAGUCGAGCGAACAGACGAGGAGCUUGCUCCUCUGACGUUAGCGGCGGACGGGUGAGUAACACGUGGAUAACCUACCUAUAAGACUUGGAUAACUUCGGGAAACCGGAGCUAAUACCGGAUAAUAUAUUGAACCGCAUGGUUCAAUAGUGAAAGACGGUUUUGCUGUCACUUAUAGAUGGAUCCGCGCCGCAUUAGCUAGUUGGUAAGGUAACGGCUUACCAAGGCAACGAUGCGUAGCCGACCUGAGAGGGUGAUCGGCCACACUGGAACUGAGACACGGUCCAGACUCCUACGGGAGGCAGCAGUAGGGAAUCUUCCGCAAUGGGCGAAAGCUUGACGGAGCAACGCCGCGUGAGUGAUGAAGGUCUUCGGAUCGUAAACCUCUGUUAUUAGGGAAGAACAAAUGUGUAAGUAACUAUGCACGUCUUGACGGUACCUAAUCAGAAAGCCACGGCUAACUACGUG